rnacentral:rRNA from 1 species
UUGCACGCUGGCGGCAGGCCUAACACCUGCAAGUCGAGCGGAUGAAGGGAGCUUGCUCCUGGAUUCAGCGGCGGACGGGUGAGUAAUGCCUAGGAAUCUGCCUGGUAGUGGGGGAUAACGUCCGGAAACGGGCGCUAAUACCGCAUACGUCCUGAGGGAGAAAGUGGGGGAUCUUCGGACCUCACGCUAUCAGAUGAGCCUAGGUCGGAUUAGCUAGUUGGUGGGGUAAAGGCCUACCAAGGCGACGAUCCGUAACUGGUCUGAGAGGAUGAUCAGUCACACUGGAACUGAGACACGGUCCAGACUCCUACGGGAGGCAGCAGUGGGGAAUAUUGGACAAUGGGCGAAAGCCUGAUCCAGCCAUGCCGCGUGUGUGAAGAAGGUCUUCGGAUUGUAAAGCACUUUAAGUUGGGAGGAAGGGCAGUAAGCUAAUACCUUGCUGUUUUGACGUUACCAACAGAAUAAGCACCGGCUAACUUCGUG